rnacentral:lncRNA from 1 species
CUAUUUUUUUGUCAUGGAUUCUUCAAGUACUCAGGUUUGCCCCGUCUUCCCCUAUAUAAAUUAAAAAAAAUACAAUAUUCAACGAUUUAUACAGCUAUACGCUGAAUUGAUGCGAUGACGAUUAACGUGGAAAAUGAAAGGAAGUUUGAAUUUAAAUAGCCUCUUCAUAUCACUUUUUCAAUUUUUCUUUUUUUUUUUUUCUUUUGCCAUUUUGUCGAAGGUAUACGAUUAUACACAAGUACAGUGGAUCGGCGUAUAAUAUGAACAACAAACACCGGAAACUGACUGGGGGUACGAGUAAUACCAGUGUCAACAAAUACACUACAGGCAUAUCGGUCAGCCAACACCUUGUUUUCAUCUAAUUACGAUAACAGUUAUAAAGUUAGCUGCUGCGCUACAUCACGAUAUCCGAGGACCUCCGCACUCUUUAUAUACCUCUCAAAUGUACAGCAACUGGCAGAGAGUGGAAAAUGUAUUUAUAUACAUAUAAUAUAAUUCUUCGGAGUGUUUCGUAGAUCAAUGAAGCCACGGAGUGAAGUUCUCACUCGUCAGUAACCGCCCCAAACGGACUCAAAGCAACCAUCAUCUCUUCCUCGCUUCAUCCCCCUUUUCGCAUCUCAUGCCUAUACGUAUGUUAUAGCUACAACUAUAUUUCUUAUUAUUGUGCCCAGCUGAAAAUCUCCAACUUAGCUUUAUUUAGGUGAUGAAAAAAAGGAAGAAAAGAAGACUCUUGCGGGUGGGGCGACGCCGAGGAAUUGGCGUCGGCGAGAGAG